rnacentral:rRNA from 1 species
CCUGACGGAGCAAUGCCGCGUGUGGGAUGAAGCAUCUCUGGUGUGUAAACCACUGUCAGGGGACGGAACCAAUGAUUGUCCCCAGAGGAAGUGGCGACUAACUCUGUGCCAGCAGUCGCGGUAAUACAGAGGCCACAAGCAUUAGUCGGAAUCACUGGGCUUAAAGGGUCCGCAGGCGGUCCUCCAAGCGUUUUGUGAAAUCCCAUGGCUCAACCAUGGAACAGCAGAGCGAACUGGAGGACUUGAAGAAGGUAGGGGCCGCCGGAACAGUAGGUGGAGCGGUGAAAUGCGUAGAUAUCUACUGGAACGCCGAUGGUGAAGACGGGCGGCUGGGCCUUUCUUGACGCUAAGGGACGAAAGCGUGGGGAUCAAACAGGAUUAGAUACCCUGGUAGUCCACGCUGUAAACGAUGUGCACUAGACUGGUGCGGUUUUGACGCCGUAUCAGUCGUAGUAAAAACGAUAAGUGCACCGCCUGGGGAG